GAUGAACGCUGGCGGCGUGCCUAAUACAUGCAAGUCGAGCGAACAGACUAGGAGCUUGCUCCUCUGACGGUAGCGGCGGACGGGUGAUUAACACGUGGAUAACCUAUCUAUAAUACUGGGAUCACUUCGUGACACCGGAUCUAAUACCGGAUAAUAUAUUGAACCGCAUGGUUCAAUAGUGAAAGACGGUUUUGCUGUCACUGAUAGAUGGCUCCGCGCCCGAUUAGCUAGUUGGUAAGGUAACGGCUUACCAAGGCGACGAUGGGUAGCCGACCUGAGAGGGUGAUCGGCCACACGGGAAGUGAGACACGGUCCAGACUCCGACGGGAGGCAGCAGUACGGAAUCUUACGCAAGGGGCGAAAGCGUGACGGAGCAAAGCCGGGUCAGUGAUGAAGGACUUAGGAUCGUAAAACUAUGUUAUUAGGAAAGAACAAAUGUGUAAGUACCCAUGAACGUAUUGACGGUACCUGAUCAGAAAGCCCCGGCUAACUCCGUG
rnacentral:rRNA from 1 species